rnacentral:rRNA from 1 species
UGGAUCCAGACUUUGAUUCUGGCUCAGGAUGAACGCUAGCUACAGGCUUAACACAUGCAAGUCGAGGGGAAACGGCAUCGAAAGCUUGCUUUUGAUGGGCGUCGACCGGCGCACGGGUGAGUAACGCGUAUCCAACCUGCCCACCACUUGGGGAUAACCUUGCGAAAGCAAGACUAAUACCCAAUGACGCCUCUAGAAGACAUCUGAAAGAGAUUAAAGAUUUAUCGGUGAUGGAUGGGGAUGCGUCUGAUUAGCUUGUUGGCGGGGUAACGGCCCACCAAGGCGACGAUCAGUAGGGGUUCUGAGAGGAAGGUCCCCCACAUUGGAACUGAGACACGGUCCAAACUCCUACGGGAGGCAGCAGUGAGGAAUAUUGGUCAAUGGGCGAGAGCCUGAACCAGCCAAGUAGCGUGCAGGAUGACGGCCCUAUGGGUUGUAAACUGCUUUUAUAAGGGAAUAAAGUGAGUCUCGUGAGACUUUUUGCAUGUACCUUAUGAAUAAGGACCGGCUAAUUCCGUGCCAGCAGCCGCGGUAAUACGGAAGGUCCGGGCGUUAUCCGGAUUUAUUGGGUUUAAAGGGAGCGUAGGCCGGAGAUUAAGCGUGUUGUGAAAUGUAGACGCUCAACGUCUGCACUGCAGCGCGAACUGGUUUCCUUGAGUACGCACAAAGUGGGCGGAAUUCGUGGUGUAGCGGUGAAAUGCUUAGAUAUCGCGAAGAACUCCGAUUGCGAAGGCAGCUCACUGGAGCGCAACUGACGCUGAAGCUCGAAAGUGCGGGUAUCGAACAGGAUUAGAUACCCUGGUAGUCCGCACGGUAAACGAUGGAUGCCCGCUGUUGGUCUGAACAGGUCAGCGGCCAAGCGAAAGCAUUAAGCAUCCCACCUGGGGAGUACGCCGGCAACGGUGCAACUCAAAUGAAUUGACGGA